GCGAUGUGCCUAAGGUAUGCAAGUCGAACGAUUCCUGUAUCUUCGGAUACAGGGAGUGGCAAACGGCUGAGUAACGCGUAGGAACCUACCCCAAACUCGAGUAUAGCCCCGCGAAAGCGGGGGUAAUCCUCGAUAGUCCGUGAAGUAUUUUACUUCACGGUAAAGCUUUUGCGGUUUGGGAUGGGCCUGCGUCCUAUCAGGUAGUUGGUGAGGUAAGUGCUCACCAAGCCUAUGACGGGUAGCUGGUCUGAGAGGAUGGUCAGCCAGACUGGGACUGCGACACGGCCCAGACUCCUACGGGAGGCAGCAACUAGGAAUUGUGCGCAAUGGACGAAAGUCUGACGCCGCGACAUCGCGUGGAGGAUGAAGGUCUUCGGAUUGUAAACUCCUUUUCUUACCGAACAAGUUUUGAGUGUAGGUAAGGAAUAAGUGCCUGCUAACCACGUGCCAGAAGCAUCGGUAAUACGUGGGGCACGAGCGUUAUCCGGAUUUACUGGGCGUAAAGAGAAGCGUAGGCGGCUCGAUAAGUUUGGUGUUAAAUCUUCCGGCUCAACCGGAAACAAGCACCGAAAACUAUCGAGAUUGAGUCGAGUAGGGAAGAGGGGAGUUCCUGGUGGAGCGGUUAAAUGCGUAGAUAUCAGGAGGAAUACCAAGGGCGAAGGCACCUCUUUGGACUCGUACUGACGCUGAGGCUCGAAAGCGUGGGUAGCAAAACGGAUUAGAUACCCGUGUAGUCCACGCCGUAAACGAUCCCUGUUAGAUGUA
rnacentral:rRNA from 1 species